AUGCAUGCUGUGAAAUUCGGCUACAGAUGGAACAUAGGGGAUGGGAGCAGAACCAGGUUCUGGGAAGAUAGUUGGUUUGGCACAUCCCCCCUAGCAAUCCAAUUUUGGCCUAUUUACUCUGUCCGCAAUGAGCUUAACAAAAGUGUCAAUGAAGUUUGGGACGGUCAAUGCCUAAAACUCUCUUUAACAAAAGCAUUACCUUUACUGCCGAGCCGGAUGCCCUGA
rnacentral:rRNA from 1 species